rnacentral:rRNA from 1 species
GACGAACGCUGGCGGCGUGCUUAACACAUGCCAGUCGAACGGAAAGGCCCUGCUUUUGUUGGGUGCUCGAGUGGCGAACGGGUGAGUAACACGUGAGUAACCUGCCCUUGACUUUGGGAUAACUUCAGGAAACUGGGGCUAAUACCGGAUAUGAGCUCCUGCUGCAUGGUGGGGGUUGGAAAGUUUCGGCGGUUGGGGAUGGACUCGCGGCUUAUCAGCUUGUUGGUGGGGUAGUGGCUUACCAAGGCUUUGACGGGUAGCCGGCCUGAGAGGGUGACCGGCCUCAUUGGGACUGAGAUACGGCGCAGACUCCUACGGGAGGCAGCAGUGGAGAAUAUUGCACAAUGGGCGGAAGCCUGAUGCAGCAACGCCGCGUGCGGGAUGACGGCCUUCGGGUUGUAAACCGCUUUCGCCUGUGACGAAGCGUGAGUGACGGUAAUGGGUAAAGAAGCACCGGCUAACUACGUG